ACAUGACAUAUUCGUAAUUCCUGCAAAGUUCUAUAGAAUUUGAUGUUGGCUGCAAAAGGGACAUAGUAUCUUUAAAGCAAGAUGUUAGAUUUUGGGUGUUUGAGGGAACUAAUUUGUUACAUGUAGCUAUUACCAGAAGUACAUUUUGUGUAGCAUUUUCACAUUUUUUCAGCAAAUGUGCUUUUAUAAGAUUUGGGGGAGACUUGAAUGCUGCUUAUAAAUUCUAAAUGUUUCAUGAUUUAUCUGUACAUUUUUUUAAUAUUAAUUUGCACCUUGUGUAAAAACAAUUUUAUAUCACUGGGGCUUUUGGCCUUGCGAUUACAACUUUUUGCCAAUAUUUGAAAUGUAUGCACCAAGUACAUACAUACAUACAUACAUGUACAUGUACAUGACAUCUACAUACCGUUACCUUCUUAAAAUAAUGGCCUAAGUCAUAUUUUUCAAGUUUUAAGAAAAACAGAGAAAACUGAACCAAACAUAGAAUUUCACACAGAGAGGUUUGGGGAUAUAUGACUAAUGAAACUACAAAUAAUUCUGUCUGUCGAAUCGGUUUCAUAAGAGGAUUAGAUUACUCAGUUACUUUGGGUUUACUCAAUAAUAUAUAUACUUUUUUCUUUAAAUGCUUGACUUAGGCAAUUAUACUAUCUAGGUAUAAGCAGCAUGAAUAUUAUACCAAAAGCUUCAGUCUCUCUAUAUUGUCAGUUGUUCCACUAGACCUCCGAUUAUAGAUUAUGUAUUGGGGAAUGUCAACAAAUGUCAGUUUUAUUAAAGAAAUGACCCAUAUCAGACGGUUAUUUCUGUCUACAUGAAUAUGUACUAUUCAGCACAUAUGCCAUUUAACAAAGGUGGAUAGCCUCAUGAAGAGAUGAAUUGGGUAAAAAUAUAAUUUUUUUCAAAAUGUGACUUUGGCCAUUAUUUCAAGAAGGUGACGAUAUGUGAAAUGUGAGUUUAAAUAACAUUCCCCAGUUUCUACAUUUGUUGCAGAAGAUGUAAUGAAAUGAUCAAUAACAACAGAUUGAAAGUGUUAAAAUCAUGUCUGUUAACAAAAGUUUUAUAACUAUCGGUAGAGGUCAUAUAGUGAAGUAUUGCAAUAUACUUGUGGCAGUAAUACUGUAUAUUAUAGUUAAGAUAUUCAGAGUUUAUAACUUUAUACAGCACACACACACAUUUAAAGAAAUCAUGCAAUUCUUCCAAAUUUACUUGUUGCAUUUUUACAAAGUAGCCAAUUUUGCUAAAGCAUUGGGCAUUGCAAACUCUAUUUAGAAAGAUAUCAGAUUGAAAGAUAUAGAUUAUAUUUUGCUGUGCAAUGUGCAAAAAUGUUAACCAACCAAAUUUGGAUCUUACUGGUAUUCUAGGUGAGCAGUCAUUCAAUUUUUCAUAGAGAAAUCAUGGUGUGAUUAUUUCUUUGUGUAAAUUUGUAUCACAUUUAAGUCAUGUUUUGAAUCUUCAGCAUUUAUUUUACUUAAAGACCCUGUCGGAAGUGAAAAUGAAAUAGAUGAGUUAUAUAUGAAAGGAAACUAAAGCUUACAAGCCAUAGAUUACAAUAAUACCUAUUAUAUAGUACUUUAGAGCCUGUCAGACGAGUAACAGCUCUCUGAAAACUCAAAAUCUGAAGCUUGGAAAAUCAGGAGUUGUUGACUUAAUAAAAUCAUCAUAGUGUGUGGAGUACGCAUAUUCACAAUGACUUUGCAUUAUUUAAGCACGAUUCAUCGCCUCGGCUAUAUAGGCGAGCCGAUCGGGUGCACAUAUUAUGUUGUCACUGUAACUGCGGCAAAUUUGAACCCUCUUGACCUGUAAUUUGGAGAGGUGCAGAAAAAAAGGUUUUAAAUCACUUUUGUGCAAUAUUGAAAGGGAAAAUAUUUUAAAUUCCUUUAUAUUUGUAUUCUAUAUUCUUUCAGCUUUCCAUUGAUAUAACCAGCCCUGGAUAUAACAUUGUAUUUUCAUCGGAUAGGGUCUUUAACCCCCCCCCCCCCCCCCCCCCUCCUCCACACAUAUUGCCUCUUGGAAAUUUAUUUACAUAUAAAAUAUUGCCACAGUGGUUUUAUGCAGUUCAUCGCAUCUUGUCAGAUGGACUAACCAUAGAAAUUAAUCGCUUGUGAUGUUCUUCUUUUGCUUCGGUGAAGUCUGCUUCCUUCAACCUUAAAGAUUCUUGCAUAACUUUGAGAAAGUGUGUGUCAUACCCUGUUGAAAUAAAAACGAAAUAAAUAAAUAAAUAAGAUUGUAGAGGCAUGAACUACAUUA